rnacentral:rRNA from 1 species
CCUACGGGGGGCUGCAGUGGGGAAUAUUGGACAAUGGGGGGAACCCUGAUCCAGCCAUGCCGCGUGUGUGAAGAAGGCCCUCGGGUUGUAAAGCACUUUCAGUGAGGAAGAACGCCUGGUGGUUAAUACCCAUCAGGAAAGACAUCACUCACAGAAGAAGCACCGGCUAACUCCGUGCCAGCAGCCGCGGUAAUACGGAGGGUGCGAGCGUUAAUCGGAAUUACUGGGCGUAAAGCGCGCGUAGGUGGCUUGAUAAGCCGGUUGUGAAAGCCCCGGGCUCAACCUGGGAACGGCAUCCAGAACUGUCAAGCUAGAGUGCAGGAGAGGAAGGUAGAAUUCCCGGUGUAGCGGUGAAAUGCGUAGAGAUCGGGAGGAAUACCAGUGGCGAAGGCGGCCUUCUGGACUGACACUGACACUGAGGUGCGAAAGCGUGGGUAGCAAACAGGAUUAGAUACCCGAGUAGUC